rnacentral:misc_RNA from 1 species
AAAUUAUCACUUAACAAUUGUUUUGUGGAUACUGAGUAACCCAAAUGAGAAUUUGGAUACUUGAAAAUUAGUGGUUGUUUAACAAUGGGAACAUUAUGUUGUCUUUCGUAAGUAAUUACGAUCGGCGGUCUUGCAGUAUUAACAGACUAUUUAAUUAUAGUGGUUUAUACAUAAUUCAUCUGAUAAGUUAGUGGGCCGUCAUACCCUCAUUCUAAUCAUUUGAUGGUAUAUUCUUAAUGUUAUGUUGCUAGAUAAUAUUUAUAUUGCAUUCUGUUUAUUAACCGUUGUUUAUAUAGCAGUCAAAAUCCGGGAAACUAGAAAUUAACAAUUUCUAUCUUAAU